UGUGGCAGCAUUCCACAUUGUUUUUGUCUAUCUUUUCCCACAUUUUUCGCCUUUUUUCUGGUCUUUUGUAAUUUUUCGUAUUUGUUAUUAAAUUUUCAGUGCUUAAUUAAAUCGUAAAACGUCUAGUGCAUUAAUUUUCAUAGUAAUAUUAAUACCUUAAUUUAAAAAUGCUGAAAAGUAGUAAUAUCGAGAGUAUUAUUAAUGCUGUAGAAGCGGGAGGUCAGCAACCGAGGCCACAACUGCCGUUAGCACUGAAUAAUACCAGCUCGAAUGAAGCAGAUGAAGUGUACAUACCACAAGGGAGCAACGCCUACGCUGCAUCACUCUCAAAUACUUUUGGUAAAAACGAUGACAGUGAGAAUAGUAAUGAUAAUAAUGUGCCAACAACAAAGCAGGCAAGCAGUGAACAAACACCAGAUUCAUUGGCCACCAAACAGUUGACCGCAGGUUUAUUGCAAAUAUUCGAGCCACCACUAGCAAAAGCGCGCGGUCAGCUGAAAGAACUCAUUGGAAAGCAGAAUAAAAUCUACAUUGAUUUAUCGGCUGAGAAAUACAAAUUAGAUGAUGCUGAAACGACGAGGUUACAUGAAAUGAUGAACAAUGUAAAAAUUUAUCGCGAGAAAUUGGUGAAGAUAAAAAAACAAAUGCAGAAUAUUUAUCAGCGCACCAAAGUUUUGAAGAAACGCGCAUUUAACGUGCAAGUGUGCAAGCAAAAAGAGCUCCAACGCAAAUUGCAAAAGCAGCAACAAGAGGAGUCCUUAAUCGCCAAGCAACAGCAGCAGCAACAACAACAGUAGAAUUAAGCAGCGCAACACGUGCAGUGAAACAAAAUCAAAGGAUUUUCGGUAGAAUUUUCAGAAUGUUUAUACAAUAUCCGUUAUAUAUUGAAGUUAAAAAUAAUAAUAAUACUGAAAGACUUGCAAUUUGUUUUAGUUAUUAAAGAAUAGAUUUUGAUUAUAUUUUAUAUAAAUGUAGUACCAUAUAUAAUUAAAAUACACUAAUAUAAAGGUUUAAUAAAAAAUGCCCUUAAGCAUUAUCAUGCUUAAUGUAAAACGAAUACAUGCUUGCAAUACAAUUUGCCUAAUUUAAGAUGAAUUGUUCUGUAUGUAUGCAGCUACUUUACUACUCAAUUAUUCAAAGAAAUACGCUUUUUUUGUGCUAAGGGCAACAUUUGAGCACAACGUUAUAAUGCUUUGGUUUUGAG